UACGGAGGGAGCUAGCGUUGUCCGGAAUUACUGGGCGUAAAGCGUGCGCAGGCGGUGAUGUAAGACCGAUGUGAAAUCCCCGGGCUUAACCUGGGAACUGCAUUGGUGACUGCAUUGCUGGAGUAUGGCAGAGGGGGGUGGAAUUCCACGUGUAGCAGUGAAAUGCGUAGAGAUGUGGAGGAACACCGAUGGCGAAGGCAGCCCCCUGGGCCAAUACUGACGCUCAUGCACGAAAGCGUGGGGAGCAAACAGG
rnacentral:rRNA from 1 species